rnacentral:rRNA from 3 species
AGGACAGUGAAACGACUUUGCGCCGAUGAUAGUGCGGGUUCCCGUGUGAAAGUAGGUCAUCGUCAGGC